rnacentral:tRNA from 1 species
CCGGUAGCUCAGCUGGUUAGAGCGCUGGCCUGUCACGCCAGAGGUCGAGGGUUCGAGCCCCUUCCG